rnacentral:lncRNA from 1 species
UGGUUUCUUUAUGAACUCUAAUUUGUAACCUUUUUCUAUUACAGACAAAACCCAUUGGUCGUUUGUAAUCUUUUUCCAAUUUUCUAGAAAAAAUCUGAGACGACCCCCUACUGGUAUCUUGUCUUGAUUUUGAAAUAAAAUUACCUGUAUCUCUGAGUCAGCUGGACUGUUUCUUGGGGAUACGAAAAGAACCCCAGGAACCGGUACCACUGUUUGAUGUCUUGGCAUCUUUGUCUUUCUUGUCUUUAUUUCCAAAGCCAC